CUGCGAGUAAGUCCUAUCCGAGGCAAUGAUGCCCGCACUUGUGGAAUGGGAGUACUAUGAUAGGGGUCGCAG
rnacentral:sRNA from 12 species